GACGAACGCUGGCGGCGUGCCUAAUACAUGCAAGUAGAACGCUGAAGGAGGAGCUUGCUUCUCUGGAUGAGUUGCGAACGGGUGAGUAACGCGUAGGUAACCUGCCUGGUAGCGGGGGAUAACUAUUGGAAACGAUAGCUAAUACCGCAUAAUAUUGACUAUUGCAUGAUAGUCAGUUGAAAGGUGCAACUGCACCACUACCAGAUGGACCUGCGUUGUAUUAGCUAGUUGGUGGGGUAACGGCUCACCAAGGCGACGAUACAUAGCCGACCUGAGAGGGUGAUCGGCCACACUGGGACUGAGACACGGCCCAGACUCCUACGGGAGGCAGCAGUAGGGAAUCUUCGGCAAUGGACGGAAGUCUGACCGAGCAACGCCGCGUGAGUGAAGAAGGUUUUCGGAUCGUAAAGCUCUGUUGUAAGAGAAGAACGAGUGUGAGAGUGGAAAGCACACACUGUGACGGUAUCUUACCAGAAAGGGACGGCUAACUACGUG
rnacentral:rRNA from 1 species